ACUCAAAUGAAUUGACGGGGGCCCGCACAAGCGGUGGAGCAUGUGGUUUAAUUCGACGCAACGCGAAGAACCUUACCUGGGCUUGAACUGCAAUGGACCGCGGCAGAGAUGUCGUUUUUCGCAAGAACUGUUGCAGAGGUGCUGCAUGGCUGUCGUCAGCUCGUGUCGUGAGAUGUUGGGUUAAGUCCCGCAACGAGCGCAACCCUUACCCGUAGUUGCCAGCGCGUCAUGGCGGGAACUCUACGGGGACUGCCCGGGUUAACCGGGAGGAAGGUGGGGAUGAUGUCAAGUCCUCAUGGCCCUUAUGUCCAGGGCUACACACGUGCUACAAUGGGCGAUACAAACCGUUGCGAUACAGCGAUGUGGAGCUAAUCGGAGAAAGUCGUCCUCAGUUCGGAUUGUAGUCUGCAACUCGACUACAUGAAGGUGGAAUCGCUAGUAAUCGUGUAUCAGAAUGAUACGGUGAAUACGUUCCCGGGCCUUGCACACACCGCCCGU
rnacentral:rRNA from 1 species